rnacentral:rRNA from 1 species
UACGAAGGGGGCUAGCGUUGUUCGGAAUCACUGGGCUUAAAGGGCGCGUAGGCGGGCAGCCAAGUCAGGGGUGAAAUCCUGGAGCUCAACUCCAGAACUGCCUUUGAUACUGGCGAUCUCGAGUCCGGGAGAGGUGAGUGGAACUGCGAGUGUAGAGGUGAAAUUCGUAGAUAUUCGCAAGAACACCAGUGGCGAAGGCGGCUCACUGGCCCGGUACUGACGCUGAGGUGCGAAAGCGUGGGGAGCAAACAGGG